AGCGAACGCUGGCGGCAGGCCUAACACAUGCAAGUCGAACGAACUCUUCGGAGUUAGUGGCGGACGGGUGAGUAACACGUGGGAACGUGCCUUUUGGUUCGGAAUAACUCAGGGAAACUUGUGCUAAUACCGAAUGUGCCCUUCGGGGGAAAGAUUUAUCGCCAUUAGAGCGGCCCGCGUCUGAUUAGCUAGUUGGUGAGGUAACGGCUCACCAAGGCGACGAUCAGUAGCUGGUCUGAGAGGAUGACCAGCCACACUGGGACUGAGACACGGCCCAGACUCCUACGGGAGGCAGCAGUGGGGAAUCUUGCGCAAUGGGCGAAAGCCUGACGCAGCCAUGCCGCGUGAAUGAUGAAGGUCUUAGGAUUGUAAAAUUCUUUCACCGGGGACGAUAAUGACGGUACCCGGACAAGAAGCCCCGGCUAACUUCGUG
rnacentral:rRNA from 1 species